UACAGAGGCCUCGAGCGUUAGGCGGAAUCACUGGGCUUAAAGCGUGUGUAGGUGGAUGCCUAAGUACCUUGUGAAAUCCCACGGCUUAACCGUGGAAUGGCUGGGUAUACUGGGCGUCUUGAGCCACUCAGGGGCUACCGGAACAAAUGGUGGAGCGGUGAAAUGCGUAGAUAUCAUUUGGAACGCCAAUGGUGAAAACAGGUAGCUGGGGGUGUGCUGACACUGAGACACGAAAGCCAGGGGAGCAAACGGG
rnacentral:rRNA from 1 species